UACGUAGGGCGCGAGCGUUGUCCGGAUUUAUUGGGCGUAAAGAGCUCGUAGGCGGCUUGUCGCGUCGUCCGUGAAAACCUGCAGCUCAACUGCAGGCUUGCGGUCGAUACGGGCAGGCUAGAGUUCGGUAGGGGAGACUGGAAUUCCCGGUGUAGCGGUGAAAUGCGCAGAUAUCGGGAGGAACACCGGUGGCGAAGGCGGUUCUCUGGGCCUUACCUGACGCUGAGGAGCGAAAGCGUGGGGAGCGAACAGG
rnacentral:rRNA from 1 species